rnacentral:rRNA from 1 species
ACGUAGGUGGCAAGCGUUGUCCGGAUUUACUGGGUGUAAAGGGCGUGUAGGCGGGAAUGCAAGUCAGAUGUGAAAUCUCCGGGCUUAACCCGGUGUAGCAUUUGAAACUGUAUUUCUUGAGUGAUGGAGAGGCAGGCGGAAUUCCUCGUGUAGCGGUGAAAUGCAUAGAUAUGAGGAGGAACACCAGUGGCGAAGGCGGCCUGCUGGACAUUAACUGACGCUGAGGCGCGAAAGCGUGGGGAGCAAACAG